rnacentral:rRNA from 1 species
AGAGUUUGAUCCUGGCUCAGGAUGAACGCUAGCGGCAGGCCUAAUACAUGCAAGUCGAGGGGCAGCACAGGUAGCAAUACUGGGUGGCGACCGGCAAACGGGUGGGAACACGUACGCAACCUUCCUUCAAGCGGGGAAUAGCCCAGAGAAAUUUGGAUUAAUACCCCAUAGGAAUGUAGUCUCGCAUGAGACAGCAUUUAAAGAUUUAUCACUUGAAGAUGGGCGUGCGUCUGAUUAGGUAGUUGGUGAGGUAAUGGCUCACCAAGCCGACGAUCAGUAACUGGCGUGAGAGCGCGACCAGUCACACGGGCACUGAGACACGGGCCCGACUCCUACGGGAGGCAGCAGUAAGGAAUAUUGGUCAGUGGACGCAAGUCUGAACCAGCCAUGCCGCGUGGGGGAUGAAUGCCCUC